AAAGCCCAACAACUUUGGGACUAAAUGUAAAUUUCUACUACGUUAUUAGGAUCAAGUGUAACCCAAGGAGAUGCAGUGUUGAAAAUACUGUUCCCACAAGAGUUGCUCUAGCCUAGAGUGUGAUCGUUAAGAGGAAGUUUACCGGAUUUGGGUGAGGAACUUAUUUAGUCGAAGAGAAGAAGAAAAAUGAAAUUUGGCGGGAGGCAACCAACUGGAACACCAUCACUUGCAUUGUCGACUGUCGUGAUUGUUGCAUCGCUUCUUGCCGGUGCAUCUGUAGUUCAUAACAUCUACAAGCCUGAUCUUACAUUGCCUCCGGUGGAGAAGGAUGAUGAUGACAAAAUGAAGACUAAGAAUACUAAUACUCCAGGUCAACCCAAGAAAGAUUAGGACAAUGAAAAUCUGUUUCCGGGGAAUGCAUUUUGGAAGAACUCGCGUUUUAAGCACUCUCUAAAACCUCAGCUUGAUUUCUUUAUGGUUUAGAAGUUGGGAAUACUUGGGAAUUCUAUUACAUUUGGAUAUGUGUUUCAGAUCUUUUAAUUGAGUUUGGGUUAGUUAUUCCA